CGUUGUAAUUCAUUCUCACCCACAGGAGCAAAAGGACAGGAGAAGAAAACACAAUGCUAAAACAAAACAAACAAUUAAAAUGGACUCAGAGGAUGGAGUCUUUAAAUGGACUGAUGCCAACACGGCAGAUCUGAUUGUAUGGAGAGUCAGUAACAACAGUUUGUUUACAGGCAGGAGAAAUGCAGCCAUCAAAGCCUUCGAGCUGUAUGUGAAGGAGAACCAGCUGGCGGGGAAAGUGACGCCUGCAUGGGUUCGAAAGAAGUGGGAGAAUCUAAAACAGAAGUAUAAGGACCUCAAAAGCCUCAGUAUGGUUGGGGGAGACGCAUCAAUUGCAACCUGGAAGUGGUAUACAAUCAUGGAUGGAGCACUGAGUAGCGAGACCCCCCUCAACCAUUUCAUCAUGCCUGUUCAAGUGUCCUCAUCUGCUCAGGAUGCUCCACCCCUCAAGCAGAGAAAGGAAGAGGACUGGCUGACAGCUGUGCAGGGAAUGGAAAGGAGACAGGAGGAACGAGAGAGGCAAGCUUCAGAGAGAGAGGACGAGAGAGACAGACGAGCUGCAGCAAGAGAAGAAGAGCGAGACAGACGGGCUGCAGAGAGGGAUGCUGAAAGAGAUCGAAGGGCUGCAGAGAGAGAAGUAGUGAGAGAGAGAGAGACGCUGGAGAGGGAGGAGAGGAGGGAACGAGAAUUGUUUGCGAGACAGGAACGGUGGGAGAAAGACAUGCUGGCUAGAGAAGAAAGGCAGGAAAGGGACUACAGAGAAAGAGAGGAAAGGAGAGAAAGAGAAGCUGCUGCUAGAGAAGAGAGGCUUUUUAAGCUCCUUGAGACAUUUAUGGCCAAUAAGUAAAACUAUUACCGAUACAUUCCAAGAAUUGCUUAUUUUCUACAAAUAAACUCUUUUGCAUUGCCA
rnacentral:lncRNA from 1 species